UUGCUUUGUAUGAGACUUUUG
rnacentral:piRNA from 1 species